GGUCUCAAAUAUAAUUUGCUAAGUUUCCAAAUAUACCCUCAGCCUUAUGUUUUGGUCAUUUUGAUUCAUAACACUUUAAGCACGCUUUUAUUGUGUCAUUUAGACACAAAAGGCAGACAUGUCAAGGUAAGUGUUACUCAUAUUUGUCGAGCUGAAAGCCUGAAAUGGUCCUGAAAACGAACUACUCGUACUUCUUGCUGGAAAAUAUAAUUUUUGCUGGUCGGAUAUCAAAUCUAAAUUUUUCUAUCGAUUAAAAUGUUGGAGCAGAUUUAAUUUUCAAUUUCACGUGCUAUUGAAUUCUCUUGGAACGAGUGAAGGUGAAUCGAAGUGUUCCUGGUGGUUUCAGAGUUCAUUGACUAGUGGUAUUAAAAUUUUGAUUUUAUCACCGGUGGACUGAAGCAUCUUCGAGGAAUCUUUCCUGGUGAAAUUGACCAACCCAUAAAUUAACUUUGUAGAAAACCUUCGCUCCACUUCUUGCCGAUCCUCUGCUUGCUUUUGUUGGUAAUCUAACAGGUCAGGUAUGGCUUUUUGAAUCAUUCAAACUUCUUAGAAUCUUUUGCUUAUAGUUUCUCAUUUAUAAUAAUAUUUCGAGUCCAUUACUCAGAUGAUCACUGAACUAUGUGAAAUUAUGAAGUAAAGUCACUUUUCUUUCGUUUGUAACAAGAAAGUCCAUCAACGAUCCGUAUUACACUUUGAUGAUCACUUAACCAGAUUUAUUAAUUUUUUUCCAGUGAAAAAUGCUGACUUGGCAGUCCACAUAGACGUUUGGACUAUAUAGAAUGAUUAACACCCGAACAAAACAUAUAAACCCACCCAUACACCCGACCCGAACCAUUUAUAAAGAUUAAAAUCCACCAAAAAUCUUACAGCGCUCUUUCUUAUAAACGGGUCGAAUCGAGACAGAUUGAGUGUAUGGGUGGAUUUUUAUAUUUUCUUUUGGUGUUAAUUAUUUUAUGUAGUCCAAAAGUAAAUGUGGACGGCCAAAUCAGCAUUUUCCACCGAAAAAUUAAUAAAUCGUUGAGUGAUCAUCAGAGUGUAAUAGGAAUAGUUGAGUAACUGUCUUGUUACAAGUGAAAAAAAAGUGACUUUACUCAAUAAUUUCACAUAGUUCAGUAACUGUGUGAGUAAUGAACUCUAAUAUGGAGUAUAAUUUUACUCUUAGCUUGCUUUGUCUUGCCCCUCUACGGAGUAAAUUUAUCCUUUUCUGUAAGAUACAAUUCUUUUACAGGAUUAUAAUGUCUUAUUGUCUUACAUAGUGAUUAUUAAAUUUGUUAUACAAUUCUUAGUGACUUUCUAACGGGUUAUUGAACAUGCUAAAAUUAUCAAAACUAAUUGCUUCCUUUCAUGCUUUGUAAUGCAUGUCUCUCUAUGUGUGUUUGUGCGAGUGCACAUUCUUGUAUAUAUUUCUAGAUAGCAUCUAAACAUGACCGGAAGAUUGUGAUUAAAUGUUAAAAAUCUACCAGAGAAAAGGCCUCUAAUACUAACAGUGGGUAGUUGGACAAAAUCAAUGACAUAUAAGCAAGUUAAUUCGAAGAAACAAUAUGAGCACAUAAAUAAGAAGAACCUGAAAAAAGAUUUUCUAUGUUGCUUUAUUUACCGUGAAGUUCUUUUUAUUUUUUGAUUUUUUCUUUAUAGUAGCUUAUUUUCAUGUAGAAGUCUCCCUUAGGCUUUUUGCUUGUGUUGUCCUUGCUUUUACCACAUGUUACACCUGAUAACUUUUAAAAUGGGCUCCUUAAUUAGUUCUUUAAACUACUGUUGGUGACUGCAUUAAUAUUGGUAGUGGCGAAGCCAGGAAUUUCAUCUAGGGAGUUCAAAUUUGAAAGAAGUAAAAAAAAUCUCUGAUAAAAGGUGUUCAAUAUAUGUUAUAUAACACUAAAAUCUAAUAUUUUACCUAUAUAUACCGUGUAAUUUUUCGAUGAAGGGUGGUCAGUAACUACGUAGCUUCGCCCCUGAAUAUUGGUAUAUAAAGAGUGGCAUUUGUGUUUUUUAUCCGGGUAUUUAUGUAGAGACUUAAGAUUGCCUAUUCACUUGGAUAUUUCUGCUCUUAUUUUUGCUUUCCGAAUGAAUACUUGCAGUCAACACCAUCCUUUAUAUGGAAGUAAAUGUCCUUUACUUUCUAAUAAGUAUGCUACUUUUCCUCAUUAUUAAUUAUAUGUGUGCUUGUCCAGUUAACAACAACAACAAAAAAUUGUAUGCCUGGUGCAUCCUUUAUAUUUCAAUAAGUUUUUUAACAAGACUAAAAUAUUUUAUUCUCAAAAUAGGUGAUGUCGACCCAAUUGACAUAGACUUGACUGUUUAAUAUUUUCACAUGAAAAUAUAAGAUAUUAACAAUCAGUUUAGGGUGAACUAAAGAUUAAACUCCUUGCCUUGUUUAGGAUUUAGUAUUCUAGGCACUUGAUGGGCAUUUUGAGCAAUUAGGAAAAAAUCUGUUGUACUUUAGCAAGAAAUAUUAUUUGGUAAUUUGAAGUAGUACACAUUUUGCUUUUAUUCAUUACAAAUUUUGUAUCUUGAGCACAAGAAAGUAUUUGAUAUCUUCAUA